GCCCCUGAUGCCCAGGGCCAUUCAACCUGGGCAGUGAGCAGCUCAGAGUUCCCGGUCCCCUUCUGAUACCAGCCCUGCUCCCGGUCUCUGGGGACAACCCAACUGGCCUGAAGGAAAGCUCGAGAAGGAAAGUCUGUUGCUGCCUUAUCCACCAUCUAGACGCAGUGCCCGACAGAGCCCCGCGCAGAGAAGGUGCUGGAAAGCCCGUUUCGCCUGCAUAAAGGCAUGUGAGCAGGGAUGAAGACUUUCACUGGUUCGCUGACCUUCCUCUUCUUCCUGGAGCUCUCAGAACUUUGCUGACUGUACACAAAAUUCUUUCUUUGAAUCUGUGAGAAUCACCAGAGAGAGGCACAAUUCAGCAGAGAUUUUGAUGUCUGCACAAGAAAUAGAAAAAUCCGUUCUAAAAUUCAUAUGAAAUCUCACGGGACCCUGAAUUGCCAAAACAACCUUGGAAGAGAAGAACAAAGUUGAAAGCCUCACACUUCCAGAUUUCAAAAUUUACAACAAAGCUACAGUGAUCGAAAUGUGGUAAUGGGCUUCCCUGGUGGCACAGUGGUUGAGAGUCCGCCUGCUGAUGCAGGGGACAUGGGUUCGUACCCUGGUCCAGGAAGAUCCCACAUGCUGCGGAGCGGCUGGGCCCGUGAGCCAU